rnacentral:rRNA from 1 species
GGUCACUGCUAUCGGUGUUCGUCUAAGCCAUGCGAGUAAUAUGUUCUUCGGAACAUGGCGUACUGCUCAGUAACACGUGGAUAACCUGCCCUUGGGUCUGGCAUAACCCCGGGAAACUGGGGAUAAUACCGGAUAACGCAUAUCUGCUGGAAUUCUUUAUGCGUGAAAUGGAUUCGUCUGCCCAAGGAUGGGUCUGCGGCCUAUCAGGUAGUAGUAGGUGUAAUGUACCUACUAGCCGACGACGGGUACGGGUUGUGAGAGCAAGAGCCCGGAGAUGGAUUCUGAGACAUGAAUCCAGGCCCUACGGGGCGCAGCAGGCGCGAAAACUUUACAAUGCGGGAAACCGUGAUAAGGGGACACCGAGUGCCAGCAUUAUAUGUUGGCUGUCCGGGUGUGUAAAAUACACCUGUUAGCAAGGGCCGGGCAAGACCGGUGCCAGCCGCCGCGGUAACACCGGCGGCCCGAGUGGUGAUCGUGUUUAUUGGGUCUAAAGGGUCCGUAGCCGGUUUGGUCAGUCCUCCGGGAAAUCUGACGGCUUAACCGUUAGGCUUUCGGGGGAUACUGCCAGACUUGGAACCGGGAGAGGUAAGAGGUACUACAGGGGUAGGAGUGAAAUCUUGUAAUCCCUGUGGGACCACCUGUGGCGAAGGCGUCUUACCAGAACGGGUUCGACGGUGGGGGACGAAAGCUGGGGGCACGAACCGGAUUAGAUACCCGGGUAGUCCCAGCCGUAGACGAUGCUCGCUAGGUGUCAGGCAUGGCGCGACCGUGUCUGGUGCCGCAGGGAAGCCGUGAAGCGAGCCACCUGGGAAGUACGGCCGCAAGGCUGAAACUUAA